GUGAGGAAUUUUCCGCAAUGGGCGAAAGCCUGACGGAGCAAUGCCGCGUGAAGGAUGAAGGCCUAUGGGUUGUAAACUUCUUUUCUCAGAAAAGAAUUAUGACGGUAUCUGAGGAAUAAGCAUCGGCUAACUCUGUGCCAGCAGCCGCGGUAAGACAGAGGAUGCAAGCGUUAUCCGGAAUGAUUGGGCGUAAAGCGUCUGUAGGUUGUUUAAAAAGUAUUCUGUCAAAGAUUAGGGCUUAACCCUAGAUAGGCAGAAUAAACUUUUAAGCUAGAGUGUGGUAGAGGCAGAGGGAAUUCCCGGUGGAGCGGUGAAAUGCGUAGAUAUCGGGAGGAACACCAAAGGCGAAGGCACUCUGCUGGGCCAAUACUAACACUGAGAGACGAAAGCGAGGGGAGCAAAUGGGAUUAGAAACCCGGGUAGUCC
rnacentral:rRNA from 1 species